UCUGGUUGAUCCUGCCAGUAGUGAUAUGCUUGUUUCAAAGAUUAAGCCAUGCAUGUCUAAGUAUAAGCGAACUUAUACAGUGAAACUGCGGAUGGCUCAUUAAAACAGUUUGAAUUUAUUUGAUGAAUGUAUGAGAAUACUACUUGGAUAACCGUAGUAAUUCUAGAGCUAAUACAUGCAACGACGCCCGACCGUUUCACUACGGAAGGGCUGUAUUUAUUGGAUACCAAAACCAUCCUUCCCUCGGGAAGUUUUGUUUGAUGAUUCACAAUAACUGAUCGGAUCGCCACUGUGGUGGUGACAGGUCAUUCAACAUUCUGCCCUAUCAGCUUUCGAUGGUUGUGUAGUGGACAACCAUGGCCAUAACGGGUAACGGAGAAUCAGGGUUCGAUUCCGGAGAAGGAGCUUGAGAAUUGGCUACUACAUCUAAGGAAGGCAGCAGGCGCGCAAAUUACCCAAUCCCGAUUCGGGGAGGUAGUGACAAAAAAUAACAAUACCGGGCCUUUUUGGGCUUGGUAAUUGGAAUGAGGGAGAGUUAAACGGACCAUCGAGUAUCCAUUGGAGGGCAAGUCUGGUGCCAGCAGCUGCGGUAAUACCAGCUCCAAUAGCGUAUAUUAAAGUUGUUGCAGUUAAAAAGCUCGUAGUUGGACUUGUGUGCGCUGUCCGCGGGUGGCCUGCGCCCAAAAGGGCGUUUCGGUUCGGCCCCGGUGGCGCCUUGAAAUCUGCAGCUGGGGGGACGUUGGCCUUAACUGGUCGGCGACCGCACGCCGGCUGCUCGGUUACUGUGAGAAAAUUAGAGUGUUCAAGGCAGGCAUUGGGUGCAAUUGAAUACAUUAGCAUGGAAUAAUAAAAUAUGGCUCCUGCCGUAUUUUGUUGGUUUUGACUGGUGGGAGUAAUGAUUGAUAGGGACGGUUGGGGGUGCUAGUAUUGAGCGGCCAGAGGUGAAAUUCAUGGAUUCGCUCAAGACUAACUUAUGCGAAAGCAUUCACCAAGGACGUCCUCUUUAAUCAAGAACGAAAGUUGGGGGAUCGAAGACGAUCAGAUACCGUCGUAGUCUCAACCAUAAACUAUGUCGACUUGGGAUCGGCGGUAGUUUUUUCAUUAAGACACUGUCGGGACCACGGGAGAAAUCAAAGUGUCUGGACUCUGGGGGAAGUAUGGUCGCAAGGCUGAAACUUGAAGGAAUUGACGGAAGGGCACCACCAGGAGUGGAGCCUGCGGCUUAAUUUGACCCAACACGGGGAAACUUACCAGGUCCAGAGAUGUAGAGGAUUGACAGAUUGAAGCUCUUUCUUGAUCACUUCGGUGGUGGUGCAUGGCCGUUCUUAGUUGGUGGAGUGA
rnacentral:rRNA from 1 species